rnacentral:rRNA from 1 species
CGAACGAAGCACAGAUGUAGAAUUUCUUCGGAAAGGAAGCGCCUGUGACUGAGUGGCGGACGGGUGAGUAACGCGUGGGCAACCUGCCCCAUACCGGGGGACAACAGCUGGAAACGGCUGCUAAUACCGCAUACGUUUUCGGUGCCGCAUGGCGCCGAAAAGAAAACUCCGGUGGUAUGGGAUGGGCCCGCGUCUGAUUAGCUAGUUGGGAGGGUAACGGCCUACCAAGGCGACGAUCAGUAGCCGGCCUGAGAGGGCGACCGGCCACAUUGGGACUGAGACACGGCCCAGACUCCUGCGGGAGGCAGCAGUGGGGAAUAUUGCACAAUGGGGGGAACCCUGAUGCAGCGACGCCGCGUGAGCGAAGAAGUACCUCGGUAUGUAAAGCUCUAUCAGCAGGGAAGAAAGUGACAGUACCUGACUAAGAAGCCCCGGCUAACUACGUGCCAGCAGCCGCGGUAAUACGUAGGGGGCAAGCGUUAUCCGGAUUCACUGGGCGUAAAGGGAGCGCAGGCGGCGCGGCAAGUCUGAUGUGAAAGCCCGGGGCUCAACCCCGGGUCUGCAUUGGAAACUGUCGAGCUGGAGUGUCGGAGGGGUAAGCGGAAUUCCUAGUGUAGCGGUGAAAUGCGUAGA